CCUACGGGAGACAGCAGUGAGGAAUAUUGGUCAAUGGGCGAGAGCCUGAACCAGCCAAGUCGCGUGAGGGAGUACUGCCCUAUGGGUUGUAAACCUCUUUUGUCGGGGAGCAAAAGCCGGACGUGUCCGGCUGUGAGAGUACCCGAAGAAAAAGCAUCGGCUAACUCCGUGCCAGCAGCCGCGGUAAUACGGAGGAUGCGAGCGUUAUCCGGAUUUAUGGGGUUAAAAGGGUGCGCAGGCGGAUUUUUAAGUCAGCGGUCAAAUCGUGGGGCUCAACCCCAUCCAGCCGUUGAAACUGGGGAUCUAGAGUGUGCGAGAGGUAUGCGGAAUGCGUGGUGUAGCGGUGAAAUGCAUAGAUAUCACGCAGAACCCCGAUUGCGAAGGCAGCAUACCGGUGCACAACUGACGCUCAGGCACGAAAGCGUGGGUAUCGAACAGGAUUAGAUACCCCUGUAGUC
rnacentral:rRNA from 1 species